GUGAAUCAUCGAAUUUUUGAACGCAAAUUGCACUCUCCGGUUUUCCGGGAGAGUAUGCCUGUUUGAGGGUCUGUUUAAAAAAUAAUCGAGGCUGCUGCUGUGGUGGCGCUUCGGAAUUGGGUCAUCUUCCACCUUUCGGGGUUGUAAGCGACCUAAAAUUUUUCUUUACGAUUCCAAGAACGUUUCUAAGAUUUUAUUUUCUUAUACGUUUAAGGUAUCGAUCUUUAUUAGACGUGGCCGUUGCAUCGGAUCUCGUCCAUAAAUAUUUCGUUAACUGACCUCAGACAGGUAAGAACACCC
rnacentral:misc_RNA from 1 species